rnacentral:rRNA from 1 species
UACGCAGGUGGCGAGCGUUGUCCGGAUUUACUGGGCGUAAAGGGAGCGUAGGCGGAUUUUUAAGUGGGAUGUGAAAUACUCGGGCUCAACUUGAGUGCUGCAUUUCAAACUGGAAGUCUAGAGUGCAGGAGAGGAGAAUGGAAUUCCUAGUGUAGCGGUGAAAUGCGUAGAGAUUAGGAAGAACACCAGUGGCGAAGGCGAUUCUCUGGACUGUAACUGACGCUGAGGCUCGAAAGCGUGGGGAGCAAACAGG